UCGCCCUUAGAGUUUGAUCCUGGCUCAGGAUGAACGCUAGCUACAGGCUUAACACAUGCAAGUCGAGGGGAAACGAUAGAGAAAGCUUGCUUUUUCUAGGCGUCGACCGGCGCACGGGUGAGUAACGCGUAUCCAACCUGCCCAUCACUUGGGGAUAACCUUGCGAAAGUAAGACUAAUACCCAAUGAUAUCUCAAGAAGACAUCUGAAUGAGAUUAAAGAUUUAUCGGUGAUGGAUGGGGAUGCGUCUGAUUAGCUUGUUGGCGGGGUAACGGCCCACCAAGGCUACGAUCAGUAGGGGUUCUGAGAGGAAGGUCCCCCACAUUGGAACUGAGACACGGUCCAAACUCCUACGGGAGGCAGCAGUGAGGAAUAUUGGUCAAUGGGCGAGAGCCUGAACCAGCCAAGUAGCGUGCAGGAUGACGGCCCUAUGGGUUGUAAACUGCUUUUAUAAGGGAAUAAAGUGAGCCUCGUGAGGCUUUUUGCAUGUACCUUAUGAAUAAGGACCGGCUAAUUCCGUGCCAGCAGCCGCGGUAAUACGGAAGGUCCGGGCGUUAUCCGGAUUUAUUGGGUUUAAAGGGAGCGUAGGCCGGAGAUUAAGCGUGUUGUGAAAUGUAGAUGCUCAACAUCUGCACUGCAGCGCGAACUGGUUUCCUUGAGUACGCACAAAGUGGGCGGAAUUCGUGGUGUAGCGGUGAAAUGCUUAGAUAUCACGAAGAACUCCGAUUGCGAAGGCAGCUCACUGGAGCGCAACUGACGCUGAAGCUCGAAAGUGCGGGUAUCGAACAGGAUUAGAUACCCUGGUAGUCCGCACGGUAAACGAUGGAUGCCCGCUGUUGGUCUGAAUAGGUCAGCGGCCAAGCGAAAGCAUUAAGCAUCCCACCUGGGGAGUACGCCGGCAACGGUGAAACUCAAAGG
rnacentral:rRNA from 1 species